AUGAGCAUGCCAAAAUAUAUGGAAGGUUUAGGCUUUUGAGACUUCGAAAUCUUUAAUCUAGCGCUGUUGGCCAGGCAGGCAUGGCGUAUACAUGAAAACCCGGACUCUCUGAGUGCUAGGAUUUUAAAGGCAGUCUAUUACCGCAACACAGAAUUUUUGUCAGCUGAGUUGGGCAAUCACCCAUCUCAGAUUUGGAGAUCAAUUUUUGAAGGUCGGGACACAUUGAAGGUGGGACUUAUCAGGAGGAUAAGGACAGGUGCUACGACAAACAUCUGGGAUAUGAAUUGGAUCCCGAGAGCAGAAAACAUGCGCCCAAUCGUGUCACUGAUUGCCCAACCACCUCAGUUGGUCUCUGAGUUAUUGCACCGGAAUAACGCAAGGUGGAAUGCACAACUAGUUGAGCAAAUUUUUUUGCCUUAUGAUACAGCCGCUAUCUUGCAGAUUCCAGUGUGCACGUGA
rnacentral:rRNA from 1 species